UACGGAGGGUGCGAGCGUUGUCCGGAAUCAUUGGGCGUAAAGGGCGCGUAGGUGGCGCGACAAGCGUGCGGUGAAAGCUCGGGGCUCAACCCCGGGAGGCGGGUGGAUACUGGCAAGCUCGAGUCCGGAAGAGGCGAGUGGAAUUCCUGGUGUAGCGGUGAAAUGCGCAGAGUAUCAGGAGGAACACCAAUGGCGAAGGCAGCUCGCUGGGACGUGACUGACGCUGAGACGCGAAAGCGUGGGGAGCAAACAGG
rnacentral:rRNA from 1 species